GGCAGUGUGGUGUAUCGUGCACGCGGGGGUCGCAUAAUCGCAAUAAAUAAAUCUGUACGUAACCCCGAGGGCCUCGUUCGAUUCGGGGUGCUGCUC